rnacentral:rRNA from 1 species
AGUGAACGCUGGCGGUAGGCCUAACACAUGCAAGUCGAACGGCAGCACAGUAAGAGCUUGCUCUUCCGGGUGGCGAGUGGCGGACGGGUGAGGAAUACAUCGGAAUCUACUUUUUCGUGGGGGAUCACGUAGGGAAACUUACGCUAAUACCGCAUACGACCUACGGGUGAAAGCAGGGGAUCUUCGGACCUUGCGCGAUUGAAUGAGCCGAUGUCGGAUUAGCUAGUUGGCGGGGUAAAGGCCCACCAAGUCGCCGAUCCGUAGCCGGUCUGAGUGGAUGGUAAGCCACACUGGAACUGAGACACGGACCAGACUCCUACGGGAGGCAGCAGUGGGGAAUAUUGGACAAUAGGCGCAAGCCUGAUCCAGCCAUACCGCGUGGGUGAAGAAGGCCUUCGGGUUGUAAAGCCCUUUUGUUGGGAAAGAAAAGCAGCAGGUUAAUACCCCGCUGUUCUGACGGUACCCAAAGAAUAAGCACCGGCUAACUUCGUG